UCUGCACGAGAGGAGGCGCAGUGGCCUGUGAGGAGGAUGGAAAUGAGUGCUUGAAGAAAUGACUAAGGUAAAGGAGUCUGAAAAACGCCAGCAAUCUCAGCAGAUUAAAAAAAUACUUUCACUAUUACUUUAUUGGAUGAUGGUCAAACCUCAGAAUCUGCAAGAGCUUGGCCUGUAUUUAUCAGGCUGUCAUAGGCUCGUGAUGAACACGGCAAAACAAGCGAUCUGCAGCUCAAUCCAAACGGCGUGUUCAUGGGUGCCUUGGUGUCGUGUAAUUGAGACUUCAGCCCAGCAGUCUGGUUUCCAUGUGCUGUGAGUUGAAUCGUUGCUGUUCUGCACAAAUGCACAAGAGGAGGAGGAAUUGUAAGCGCUCUCCUGCACAUGUGAGCCAGCCACGAGGCUGGCACUGCUGCGUCACGGACAGCUGCCUGCUGCAGAGUGGACCUGUGUCAUAGAUUAAACCAGUUAAAUUUUCAGGGAUGUUGGUUGUUAUUUUUCAAUUUAAUGCUGAAAAAGGUGCGUUUUUCAGUUUAUUUUUCUAAAGAAGACAAACCCGUGAGUCACAGCCAAACCAUAAGAUUCGAAGUAUGAUAAGUGACCAUGUUGGAAGAUUCUGCAGACUCCAAAAGGUACCAUAUCUCAGCAUUUCUUUAUUUCAUAAAUUGGGGUAGAACAACUAUUACUAAUAGUCUAACAUAUUAUCUCCUUGAAGCAUUCAAAAAAUGCAAAUUAUGUAAAAGGUACUAUCGCAAAUCUCUAAGCUUCUCUAAGCUCCCUACAACUACCUGAAAAGAGGCUGUAGUGAGGUGGUGGUGGAU